CCUACGGGAGGCAGCAGUGAGGAAUAUUGGUCAAUGGACGAGAGUCUGAACCAGCCAAGUAGCGUGAAGGAUGACUGCCCUAUGGGUUGUAAACUUCUUUUAUAUGGGAAUAAAAUGUUCCACGUGUGGGAUUUUGUAUGUACCAUAUGAAUAAGGAUCGGCUAACUCCGUGCCAGCAGCCGCGGUAAUACUGAGGAUCCGAGCGUUAUCCGGAUUUAUUGGGUUUAAAGGGAGCGUAGGUGGAUUGUUAAGUCAGUUGUGAAAGUUUGCGGCUCAACCGUAAAAUUGCAGUUGAAACUGGCAGUCGUGAGUACAGUAGAGGUGGGCGGAAUGCGUGGUGUAGCGGUGAAAUGCUUAGAUAUCACGAAGAACUCCGAUUGCGAAGGCAGCUCACUGGACUGCAACUGACACUGAGGCUCGAAAGUGUGGGUAUCAAACAGGAUUAGAUACCCCAGUAGUC
rnacentral:rRNA from 1 species